CUUUAGUUUGAGGUUGGUUGAAGUAAGUGCCCAGAUUCAGUGGCGCAGGUUCUUUUGGCCAUUUCUCUCGGAAUAUUUGUGGUGGUGCCUUAGCCACGGCUGCUGAUUUUAUCCCCCCCACCCCGGGAAGUAGCCAGUCAACCUUGAUGGCUCGCUGCGCGUCGGGUAUUGCGCUUUCAUAAAUGUCACCAUUUGCGCCGCUUGGUGGUGGACAAACGCUUUACCCAGUGUAAGCUUGUGAAGAGUGUGUGCCUUUUCAUGAGGUGAAGUGGUAUCAAGCGGAUUGCGAGGAGCGGGGGUGUAAAAUGUGGGAUAGCUACGGUCGAUACGGAACGUUUGAUCUCAUAGUUGUCGGGGGAGUGCGGGAACGCUCGCGGGUAUGCGAAAAAGAGAAAUCAGUUGGUUAAUCGCCUGGGGAAUUUUCCGCAAUGGGCGAAAGCCUGACGGAGCAACGCCGCGUGGGGGAAGAAGGCCUUUGGGUUGUAAACUCCUUUUCUCAGGGAAGAAGAACUGACGGUACCUGAGGAAUCAGCCUCGGCUAACUCCGUGCCAGCAGCCGCGGUAAUACGGAGGAGGCAAGCGUUAUCCGGAAUUAUUGGGCGUAAAGCGUUCGUAGGCGGCGUUUCAAGUCUGCUGUCAAAGGCCGAGGCUCAACUUCGGAAAGGCAGUGGAAACUGAAAAGCUAGAGGUCGGUAGGGGCAGAGGGAAUUCCCAGUGUAGCGGUGAAAUGCGUAGAUAUUGGGAAGAACACCGGUGGCGAAAGCGCUCUGCUGGGCCGAACCUGACGCUGAGGGACGAAAGCUAGGGGAGCGAAUGGGAUUAGAUACCCCAGUAGUCCUAGCCGUAAACGAUGGAGACUAGGUGUUGCCUGUAUCGACCCGGGCAGUGCCGAAGCCAACGCGUUAAGUCUCCCGCCUGGGGAGUACGCACGCAAGUGUGAAACUCAAAGGAAUUGACGGGGGCCCGCACAAGCGGUGGAGUAUGUGGUUUAAUUCGAUGCAACGCGAAGAACCUUACCAGGGCUUGACAUCCCGCGAAUCUCGGCGAAAGUUGAGAGUGCCUACGGGAACGCGGAGACAGGUGGUGCAUGGCUGUCGUCAGCUCGUGUCGUGAGAUGUUGGGUUAAGUCCCGCAACGAGCGCAACCCUCGUCCUUAGUUGCCAUCCUUAAGUGGGGCACUCUAGGGAGACUGCCGGUGAUAAACCGGAGGAAGGUGGGGAUGACGUCAAGUCAUCAUGCCCCAUAUGUCCUGGGCGACACACGUACUACAAUGGUCGGGACAGCGAGCAGCCAACUUGCGAAAGUGAGCUAAUCUCUCAAACCCGGCCUCAGUUCAGAUUGCAGGCUGCAACUCGCCUGCAUGAAGGAGGAAUCGCUAGUAAUCGCAGGUCAGCAUACUGCGGUGAAUCCGUUCCCGGGCCUUGUACACACCGCCCGUCACACCAUGGAAGUCGGCCAUGCCCGAAGUCAUUACUCUAACCGUUCGCGGAGGAGGGUGCCGAAGGCAGGGCUGAUGACUGGGGUGAAGUCGUAACAAGGUAGCCGUACCGGAAGGUGUGGCUGGAUCACCUCCUUUUAGGGAGACCGUUCCCCAAUUGAGUGAAGGAUAUAAAUAAGCCCACUCAAUUGAGGUCAACCAUAGGUCGUGCGAAGAGUAUUCGGUCGUGUCUCUCAAACGAACGAGGACUCCGCAUCUCGGUCUUCAGUCUU
rnacentral:sRNA from 1 species